rnacentral:rRNA from 1 species
AUUGAACGCUGGCGGAAUGCUUUACACAUGCAAGUCGAACGGCAGCACGGACUUCGGUCUGGUGGCGAGUGGCGAACGGGUGAGUAAUGUAUCGGAACGUGCCCAGUCGUGGGGGAUAACGUAGUGAAAAUUACGCUAAUACCGCAUACGAUCUAUGGAUGAAAGCGGGGGAUCGCAAGACCUCGCGCGAUUGGAGCGGCCGAUAUCAGAUUAGGUAGUUGGUGGGGUAAAGGCCCACCAAGCCAACGAUCUGUAGCUGGUCUGAGAGGACGACCAGCCACACUGGGACUGAGACACGGUCCAGACUCCUACGGGAGGCAGCAGUGGGGAAUUUUGGACAAUGGGUGAAAGCCUGAUCCAGCCAUUCCGCGUGCAGGAUGAAGGCCCUCGGGUUGUAAACUGCUUUUGUACAGAACGAAAAGGUUUCUACUAAUACUAGGAGCUCAUGACGGUACUGUAAGAAUAAGCACCGGCUAACUACGUGCCAGCAGCCGCCGCUG